rnacentral:rRNA from 1 species
GACGAACGCUGGCGGCGUGCCUAAUACAUGCAAGUCGAGCGAUGAAGAUUUGUUCUUGCUCUAUUUUGAAGAGCAGCGCACGGGUGUGUAACGCGUGGGGAAUCUCCCUUUGCGCGGGGGACAACCUUUGGACACGAACGCUAAUCCCGCAUAACAACCUUAAACAUACGCUUUCAGUUUGAAAGCUGCCAUUGCAUCACUCAAAGAUGAUCCCGCGUUGUGUUAGCUUGGUGGUGGGGUAAAGGCUCACCACGGCGGGGAUACAUAGCCGACCUGAGUGGAUGAGGGGCCACAGUGGGACGGAGACACGGCCCAAACUACUACGGAGGGCCGCAAUAGGGAAACUUCGGCAAGGGACGAAAGUCUGACCGAGAAAAGCCGCGUGAGGGAAGAAGGUUUUCGGGUCGUAAAACUCGGUUGGUAGAGAAGAACGCUGGUGAGACUGGAAAGCUCAUCAAGUGACGGUAACUACCCAGAAAGAGACGGCUAACUACGUG